UUUAAACUGUCACUGACUCUGAGGGAAAGCGAUUCCGAAGCCGCAUUUAAUAUUACUACACAGCCUGCACAUCCUGUCAAGCGGAAAAAUGCCCUACAGGAUGAAGAACCUUAAAUGAAUACCUGAGCAGUGAACAGCACUGAUAUCUGUGCAGUAUCCACAGGGACUAUUCGACUGCGCUGCCGCAAGAUGGGAAGCAUGCUUCCAGAGAGAUCAAUGGACUAUCAGUGAUUUACAAGAACAUGACAGCUAAUACACAACACCUCCAGCUGACAGAACAGAACAUACUUGAAGCACGAAAGCUCCAGCUCCUCUGAAAGGGUUGGAAGGGUUUCUUCAACGUGAGGAACAUCAGCUGGGGUUUGACUUUCUGCGGCCUGUCGGGGAAAACAGACGCCUCACUUUCUG